CAAUAGCGUAUAUUUAAGUUGUUGCAGUUAAAAAGCUCGUAGUUGGAUUUCGGAUGGGAUUUGCCGGUCCGUCGUUACGAUGUGCACUGGCCAGUCCUAUCUUGUUGUCGGGGACUAGCUCCUUGGAUUCACUUCCUGGGACUAGGAGCUGACGAGGUUACUUUGAGUAAAUUAGAGUGUUCAAAGCAAGCCUACGCUCUGAAUACAUUAGCAUGGAAUGACACGAUAGGACUCUGGCUUAUCUUGUUGGUCUGUGAGACCAGAGUAAUGAUUAAGAGGGACAGUCGGGGACAUUCGUAUUUCAUUGUCAGAGGUGAAAUUCUUGGAUUUAUGAAAGACGAACUUCUGCGAAAGCAUUUGUCAAGGAUGUUUUCAUUAA
rnacentral:rRNA from 1 species